GACGAACGCUGGCGGCGUGCUUAACACAUGCAAGUCGAACGAUGAAGCCGGAGCUUGCUCUGGUGAAUUAGUGGCGAACGGGUGAGUAACACGUGAGUAACCUGCCCUUGACUCUGGGAUAACUGCGGGAAACUGUAGCUAAUACCGGAUACGACCCUCGGAGGCAUCUCCUGGGGGUGGAAAGAAUUUCGGUCAAGGAUGGACUCGCGGCCUAUCAGCUAGUUGGUGAGGUAACGGCUCACCAAGGCGGCGACGGGUAGCCGGCCUGAGAGGGUGACCGGCCACACUGGGACUGAGACACGGCCCAGACUCCUACGGGAGGCAGCAGUGGGGAAUAUUGCACAAUGAGCGCAAGCCUGAUGCAGCAACGCCGCGUGAGGGAUGACGGCCUUCGGGUUGUAAACCUCUUUUAGCAGGGAAGAAGCGAAAGUGACGGUACCUGCAGAAAAAGCACCGGCUAACUACGUGCCAGCAGCCGCCGCAG
rnacentral:rRNA from 1 species